GGGUGCGAUUAUACAAGCACUAAUACACCGGAUCCCAUCAGAACUCCGCAGUUAAGCGUGCUUGGCCGAGUGUAGUACUAGGAUCGGUGAGCAACGCUAUUUGGUCGUAUUUA
rfam:Gossypium arboreum cultivar AKA8401 contig_126310_1, whole genome shotgun sequence.